GAUUGCUCGGCCGCCCUGGUGGUCUGUAGGGGAAAUACCGUACUUGCAAUUGCAGGAGCCCUCGGCUCGCACCCACAGGCUCAGAAGUCUCGUGCAUCGCGAGAGCCGGUCUUGCUUUACGGCGAGAACUGCUACACGCCCCCAGUGAAAGGCAUGCUCGUUGCUAGCGCAGUGGCGAUAUUUGUGCAGUUAUCAUGGUGGAACCAGCGAGAAAACAGCGAAAGCCCAUGUCGGAGCAAGCAAUAAAGAGGAAAAGGGCUCUGGACAGAGAGAGGAGUCGUACACGGGUGAACAUCGGGCAAGCUUUUUCCGAAUGGCGAAAGGCUAAAAGAAAAAAAAGGCUGCAAGGCUGACGCGGACCUCGCGUUUCUGCUGAUGCGAUUGUAAGUAACAUUGGAAUGGUUUCUCUCUCUCUCUCUGUGCAUGUUCAUACUUUCACUGUGUUAGUCAUUGUUUGUACUGCCGUUUUUUCGACUUUUGUAUGAUUGUGGUCUGUUGUUGAGUAGCUAAGUAGCUAGCGGGAUGUUCGUUUUAUUAGUUAGCAAGUUAGUUAGCUUGCUGCCUAAACAUUGUUGUUGUGGUAGGUGAUAACUGCAUCGCUUGCUAUUUGGCAAACUUGCUUCACAUGUGAAGUAUCUCAAGACUGCAUAAAUCUGAAACCAGUACAAAAUGUAGUCGUGUUUGUUAGCCAUAAACCUCACGAAGCUAGUAACGUUAUGUCGGUCUAAACUAGCGUUUACUGACGAUCCUAGAAGCGUUUUUUUGUCUGACUGAUUCAUUUUCAACCACGGAAUGCAUGGUCCCUCUUCCUUUAUCUAAAUGAGUCCCCGACCAAAAAAGUGUCAUUGUUUGUAUUAUGACUUUGUAUAUGAACAUUUCUUUCUCUUUGUUGAAGUUAUAAGCGAUGGCAAGUCACAUCAACGCCAAGCAAGGCACACCCUCGACCUCAAGAGCCACAGUGUCCAGUAUCACUGAGGAAUCGGAUCAUGAUCUCAUUGUUGCUGAACCUGGUGUCCAGCCACUGUCUGUAGGGGGAGAAGUAGGAGAUUUGGAUUCAAGCAUGCACUCUCUGAGCAUUGCUGAAGAACACCGCCCAGACUCUCCAGACAAAGUAUCUUCUGAAGAUGACCUGGAUGGCACAACUGCAAACAUUACCUUCAAUGAGAAUCUUCUGACUCUGGCCAGGCACUUGAGACUGCCACAGCAACAGUGCAGUUAUGUUGACAGAGUGCUUGGGGUAGCAUGCCCGGGUUCUCCACCAUUUCAAAUGACUUUGAAACCUCGGGGGACUGGAGUAAUUUUGGAAUGGUUAAGCCCCUUCGGACACUCCUUGGAAGUGGAAUUCUCAGCCAACCCUGAGGUUUGGUUUGCAGGGUGGUGACUUCAUGCUGUCUGCCAACAUUCUCCUGUCUGGCAACAACUACAGGAAAGUAGCCUUGCUGUUCAAGUUUAUGGUGAUGGUCUCAGAGUCAACUUUCUUCAGGAUACAAGAUGCCUACUGCAUCGAGCCAGUGCAGGAGUACUGGGACAAAACCAGGGCAGAAGUCUUGGAAAGUCUUCGACAAAAGAACCGCGUUGUUGUCCUAGGUGAUGGCAGAAUGGACUCCCCUGGUCAUUGUGCACAGUUUUGCACAUACACCACCAUAGAGCAAGACUCCAGAGGCAUUGUCCACAUCGUCUCUGUUGAUAAGCGAGAAACCAACAGGAAGUCGGUCAUCAUGGAGAAGAAGUGCUUUAUUCGGACAAUGGAAGCUCUCCUUCCAGAGCUUGCCAUCAAAGAAGUUGUCACUGAUGCCCACCCACAGAUCAGUGCAUUGUUGAAUCCAGAGCGUGGUAAUUACUAUGCAUGGGGGAUCCAACACUCACUGGAUAUAUGGCAUGCAGCUAAAAGUCUAAGCAAGAAGCUUUGACGGGUUGGGACUGUAAAAAAUCAAACAAAUAUUCAAGCCUGGAUCACUUUUGGUACUGCAGUAAGCAUGCUGUAAUUGAGGAGCAGUUCAAGAUGAUGUGGGUUGGCGUGCUGCACCACAUACGGGAUGAGCACUCUUGGGCAACUGGGUGCUGUCAGCACGAGCCACUGGAGGAAGGCAGCCAGGAGAAGCAAUGGAUCAAACAAGGUUCUGCCGCUCACAAGGCAUUGGCUGGAGUUGUGCUCGACAAGCGAUGGUUGGGCCUGGUGAAAAAGUUCUUGAACUUCAGGACCACAUCUGAUUUGGAGUCCUUCCAAAAUCACAUCCUCAUGUACUCAUCAAAGCGGCACGCCUACACACCAUUUGUCUACAAGACAAGGACACUACUGGCUGCCAUUGACUACAACAAGCACAAUCGGCGCCUUCCUGCACGCAACCGGGAUGGUCAAAAAAUCUACAGACGCUCAUACAACAAGAAGUCAAAGAGCUGGAGUGUCUACACCAUGAAGGAAAAGAAGCAGUACAGCUACAUUCCUGACCUUCAGAGGGCAAUUCUAGCAAGGAGGCUGGGAAGUGGCAAAGGCAGCCACCACCUACAGCUGAACUUGUAAGCAUACAUGUGUCCCGUGGGGACUUGGGCCACAGAGACACAGAGGACCUAGAGGACUGAGCAGAUGGAUGUUUACGAUCCAAAGUAUUUGAAUUCUGUAAAU